UACGUAUGGUGCGAGCGUUGUUCGGAAUUAUUGGGCGUAAAGGGCGUGUAGGCGGAGAACUAAGUGGGGAGUGAAAACUCCGGGCUCAACCCGGAGCCUGCUUUCCAAACUGGUUUUCUAGAGUGUAGAAGAGGCAAGGGGAAUUGGCAGUGUAGCGGUGAAAUGCGUAGAUAUUGCCAGGAACACCGGUGGCGAAGGCGCCUUGCUGGGCUACAACUGACGCUGAGGCGCGAAAGCGUGGGGAGCGAACAGG
rnacentral:rRNA from 1 species